CCUUGGUUUUUUUGUUUCAAUAGUUACAUUCUUCCACGAUGAAUGAACUGUUUUGUUUCUCUUCUGAAGGUCAUUCAACUGUUAUUAAAAUCUUUGUUUCCAAAAUUGUUUUCGUCUCACUCUCGCUUGAUUUUCCAAGUAUUGACACCGGUCUGAAAUAUUUCAGAUUUGUCGAUCCGUCCCCUCACCAGCAUGUCCCUGGAGGGCCCCAUCACCAUCCCCACCAUCCCCACCAGCACCUCAACCUCCAGCCCCGGGGGUCUUGUAGCGCCUCUUGCUGCCCUCCUACCCCCAGCCCACCACAGCAGAACAAGCAGCUCAGCCAUGCCGACCACAUUCCUCCAUCGAUGACUGAUCUAACAAACCCAGGUACUGUAACCCAGGUACAGUAACCCAGGUACUAUAACCCAGGUACAGUAACCCAGGUACCAUAACCCAGGUACUAUAACCCAGGUACAGUAACCCAGGUACAGUAACCCAGGUACAGUAACCCAGGUACAGUAACCUAGGUACACCCAG
ensembl:lncRNA